rnacentral:rRNA from 1 species
GACGAACGUUGGCGGCGUGCCUUACACAUGCAAGUCGUACGCGAAAGGGGAAACCAGCUUGCUGGGGACCCCCGGUAGAGUGGCGAACGGGAGCGUAACACGUGAGGAACCUGCCUCGGA